GGGUAUUGAAGUAAAAAAAUUACAUUUAGUUUCGACCUAAAAUUAGGAAUAGUUUUCCUUACCUA
rnacentral:tRNA from 1 species